UACGGAGGGUGCAAGCGUUAUCCGGAUUUACUGGGUUUAAAGGGUGUGUAGGCGGGUCUUUAAGUCAGUGGUGAAAUCUCCGAGCUCAACUUGGAAACUGCCAUUGAUACUAUUGAUCUUGAAUUUUGUUGAGGUAGGCGGAAUAAGUCAUGUAGCGGUGAAAUGCAUAGAUAUCUGGAGGAACACCGUGGCGAAGGCGGCAUCCUGGACCAAUUCUGACACUGAGGAGCGGAAAGCCAGGGGAGACAAACCGGGAGUUAGAA
rnacentral:rRNA from 1 species